GACAGAGGAUGCAAGCGUUAUCCGGAAUUAUUGGGCGUAAAGAGCUCGUAGGCGGUCUGUCACGUCGGCUGUGAAAUCCCGAGGCUCAACCUCGGGUCUGCAGUCGAUACGGGCAAACUAGAGUAUUGCAGGGGAGACUGGAAUUCCUGGUGUAGCGGUGAAAUGCGCAGAUAUCAGGAGGAACACCGGUGGCGAAGGCGGGUCUCUGGGCAAUAACUGACGCUGAGGAGCGAAAGCGUGGGGAGCGAACAGG
rnacentral:rRNA from 1 species